rnacentral:rRNA from 1 species
UACGUAGGGGGCAAGCGUUGUCCGGAAUUAUUGGGCGUAAAGCGCGUGUAGGCGGCCAGAUAAGUCCGCUGUGAAAUCUCGAGGCUCAACUUCGAGCUGUCGGUGGAAACUGUCUGGCUAGAGUCCGGAAGAGGAGAAUGGAAUUCCUGGUGUAGCGGUGAAAUGCGCAGAUAUCAGGAAGAACACCAAUGGCGAAGGCAGCUCUCUGGGACGGUACUGACGCUGAGACGCGAAAGCGUGGGGAGCGAACAGG